CAGGUGUCAAUCUUUAAAGUUGGCCAAUUAGUCACCCUGAGACGUUUACCUGAAAAGAGGCGGGACGAGAACAGAGAAAAAAGUACAGGAAAAAAGUGUAAAUACUCAUAGUUAUUAUGUUACGUAUUUUAUUGUUUGUGGCCACGUAAAAGAUAUUAAGAACACUCUAAAUGGAAACGCAAGUAAACGCACAUGUUUUAGGGUCUUUUCAUUUAAACUUGGCUCAGUUUGUGAGCUACUUAGCGUGCUAGCUAGUUGGGAGCUAAAUGCUAGCGCAACGACAGACUGUUACAGGUGGACAGUGGAAACAUACAUGUUGCAGUUUCUGACUGAAUUAGUGUGUUUCGGCGGCCGCAGCUCAAACGGUUUGAAAGCGGUGGCUAACAGCGUUCUGGACCCCAAAAAGCUAGGACAGCGAAUGAAGCCCAUAAAACGUCCGAUAGGGAGAAGGAACUGUCCGCUUGUCAGCAACAGGCUGAGGGGAGUCAGGGGAACAUCGGUGUUGAUGCUAGAGGGGUUACCAUCAGCUCUGAUGUCAGAAUGCUGUCUUUACUGGCUGUCCCUUCGCUGUGGACUUGGCUGGGCUCCCCGAUGAAAAUCCACAGCUUCAUCCAUCAGAGCAGCUAUACAUUAUGUCACUGAGUCAUUACGGCAUCUCAGGACAUGUCCUCUUCUGAACCCGGCUCCAGAAAGAGCAACUCGAUGGAGAGGUUAAGAGCAACAAAUUAUCAGAUUUCACAUACAGUAAGAAAUCUAAUUUUGCUCUCCUUUAGUUGUAUGUUUUUGCAUUAUUUUCUGAAAGUCAAAUAACUUAAUUUAGUUAACCCUAACCCUACCCCCCAACCCUAACCCUACUUAUGUACAGUAUACAGUAGAUAUUGCAUGUUUAUGUAGUCAUAAGUCAUGCCAGCUUGAAAAUGUUUAAACUGUAGCAGAUGGUAUUAAAUUAUAAUAUAUUAUUCAUAUAUAAAAUUGAAAAUAUUGACAUUUUUGUGAGUAAGCAUUGAUUAAUGU
rnacentral:lncRNA from 1 species